CUGCAACUCGCCUGUAUGAAGUCGGAAUUGCUAGUAAUCGCGGAUCAGCAUGCCGCGGUGAAUACGUUCCCGGGCCUUGUACACACCGCCCGUCACACCAUGAGAGCCGGGAACACCCGAAGUCCGUAGUCUAACCGUAAGGAGGACGCGGCCGAAGGUGGGUUUGGUAAUUGGGGUGAAGUCGUAACAAGGUACC
rnacentral:rRNA from 1 species